AGUGAACGCUGGCGGUAGGCCUAACACAUGCAGGUCGAACGGCAGCACAGUAAGAGCUUGCUCUUACGGGUGGCGAGUGGCGGACGGGUGAGGAAUACAUCGGAAUCUACUUUUUCGUGGGGGAUAACGUAGGGAAACUUACGCUAAUACCGCAUACGACCUACGGGUGAAAGCAGGGGAUCUUCGGACCUUGCGCGAUUGAAUGAGCCGAUGUCGGAUUAGCUAGUUGGCGGGGUAAAGGCCCACCAAGGCGACGAUCCGUAGCUGGUCUGAGAGGAUGAAUCAGCAAACGGGCACCGAGGACGGGUACCGACCUCCUAGGGGAGGCACAGGGGGGAAUUUUUGGACAGGGGGCGGAGGCGUAUCCAGCCCAACCGGCGUGGGGGAGAAGGGCCUUCGGGUUGUAAAGCCUUUUUGUGGGAAAAGAAAAGAAGCGGUUUAAUCCCCGCUUUUCUGACGGUAACCCAAGAAUAAGCCCCGGCUAACUUCGUG
rnacentral:rRNA from 1 species